ensembl:processed_transcript
UUAUACCCUUUCAGGCUGAAAUUAAUUUUUAGAAACAGGAAAAAUCUGAUAUUUGGGGAAAAUUAUCAUAUGGCGUAAUCCUGACUUUUUUUUAGAGAGACCUUCACAUGCAAGGCAUUCUGGGAUGUUGCAGAUUUGCAACAUUGGCUCAGUGUGGUAAUUAGACACUGACGACUGAAUAUGAUAUGAAAAAUAAUUUUUUAUGUACAACUUUUCAAACAAUGUAACAAAUUGCUUUUCAGUGGCAGAACAACAACAAAAACAAUAUGGGAUCCAAAUCCAAUAUCUCAAAUCCUCAUUGAGUUGGUCAUGUUUCCAAGUCACUUUGUCAUGUGGUACUCCAAGAAACUUUUUUUGUGUGUGUGUCAUCUGGUGAGCAAGUGGGGAAACUGUUCGUUGCAAAUGGACAACCAAGUCCUGCAGUGGUACUUCUGAGUAAAAAAACUCAUAAAAUAUGCACCUAGAGUAAUAAGGUAGUUAAAUUUAACUGUUGCAAAUCUGCAACUCCUGCCUUGAAAGGGUUAA